AGCUUAGCUUUGCUACUCCAUCGCCACUGCCAUCUGUAGCCUUCCUCUGCUGCCGCCGUGGCCUCCACCUUCGCGGCGGCCGCUUGGCCCCCUUCGAAGCGUCCGAGAUCUUCGGUGCACGCCUCUCACCGUGGCCUCAUCGCGGCGGCCGCACUGGUCUCCUUCGGAGCGUCCGAGAUCCUCGGUGCACGCCUAUCACCACCGGUCGCUCGGCCUUUGCGAUUUUAGUUCGUCAUUUUUCUCUAAGACCCGCCCAGAUAAAGCAAGCUGCUGUUUCUCCCCCAUGAGGAGCUCAUGAAGUAGUCUGAAUUACGCACUUGGGACUGUCAACUAAUGCGAAAAAUCGCGAUCGAUCGCAUAAAAAUAUUUUCUUGCCGGUAGGCCUCUUGGAACGAAACAAGCUCAGUCAGCUCCACAUUGAGCUAUUAUUUUGUCUCGGUGGUGUGGUACCCCAAAGCAGUGUCAUAACGUAUGCUUUUGGCUUUGGCUAUGAUCCUUUUGGGUUGAGCAAGAAGCCAGAAGAUUUCGCCAAAUACAAAGUCUAUGAGCUCAUCCAUGCAAAGGUGGGCAAUGCCGGUGCAGCCGGCUUCAUCAUCUUAGAGGCCUUCGACGACGACAAGUUUGGUGCAAAUUGUGGUCCGGAGGCUGCCUGGUUCAAGAUGGUGCUCUUAUCCUAGUUGGAAUUACAUCGAAUUAUUUUGGAAGUAACAUUCCAAUCAAUCUUGUGGUUGCUGUCACUGCUGAGAUCAUGCUGGUUGGAGGUGCUGAAUACUAUAGAAUUAUCAAUGGACUGGUAAGGAAGACCUCAACAUCGAAAUCAGUCAUUUACUUUGUGUUCUGUUAAAUUAGAUGAUACCAGACUGCUCAUAGUAGAAGGAUUUGGAGGACAAGCUCAACCCUGGAGGUCCAUUUGAUCCUCUGGGGCUGGCAAACGAAGCUGCACUGCUCAAGGAGAAGGAGAUUAAGAGCAGGCGGCUAGCGAUGCUCGCAAUGCUUGGUCUCUUCCUGCAAGCCUAUUCGACUGGGAAAGGGUCAGUGGAGAACCUGAUGAGACAUCCGAGCGAACCAGUCGGAAAAAAUUUGCUCACUGUAAUAUCCCAGCUGCUUUUUCUUCCAUGAUUUCUAUGCCAUGUAAAACGAUGAAAUCACUCGAGGCAAUGCAAAAUGUCACUGUAAGCUUCUGUACGAAACCUCGUGUACGGUUCUUUAGAAACAAGUGUAGUGAUGAUGAUUUUGCUUUGAAUUCUUGUGUUUGAUCA